UUGAACGCUGGCGGCAGGCCUAACACAUGCAAGUCGAACGGUAACAGGAAGCAGCUUGCUGCUUUGCUGACGAGUGGCGGACGGGUGAGUAAUGUCUGGUAAACUGCCUGAUGGAGGGGGAUAACUACUGGAAACGGUAGCUAAUACCGCAUAAUGUCGCAAGCCCAAAGCGGGGGACCUUCGGGCCUCUUGCCAUCUGAUGUGCCCAGAUGGGAUUAGCUAGUAGGUGGGGUAAAGGCUCACCUAGGCGACGAUCCCUAGCUGGUCCGAGAGGAUGACCAGCCACACUGGAACUGAGACACGGUCCAGACUCCUACGGGAGGCAGCAGUGGGGAAUAUUGCACAAUGGGCGCAAGCCUGAUGCAGCCAUGCCGCGUGUAUGAAGAAGGCCUUCGGGUUGUAAAGUACUUUCAGCGGGGAGGAAGGGAGUAAAGUUAAUACCUUUGCUCAUUGACGUUACCCGCAGAAGAAGCACCGGCUAACUCCGUG
rnacentral:rRNA from 1 species